GAUAGUUGGUAUAAUCUAAAAAAUUAAUAAGGUGAAAGUUUAAUUUGUAAUAAAUUUAUUAGACAUUAUAUAAUUAAGAUCCUAGCACAUGUAGGAUACUUAAAGGGCUAGACUAAGUUCAUAAAUCUAUUAUAAUAAAAUGAAUGUAGAAGAUGGUGAAUAACUUUAAAUCACAAAUGGGGAAUGAAUGGGGAAAGGAACGUGGAUGCUGUAGGAAAGCUUAAUAAAUUAAGGAAAUUAGAUCGAGGUGCUAAAUAAAAUAAAAUAAAAGUUAAUAAAUUUGGAAGAGAAUAAAGGUCAAAGAUAACUCAUAAUAAUGAAAUAGAGAUUGAAAAAUUAGAAUAAAGAAAUCUGAGAAGCAAUGACCUUAGGAUGGAAUUAAAUUUUGUGUAAAAUAAUGGUUUUACGCCUUAGAUUCAUGUACCCAUCCUUAAAACUCUUUUACGGAUAAGACUUAAAUGAGGUUGGGUACACUAAGGAGAUAUGAAGGAUAAAAGAAAGAUUAAAAUGAAUCAAAAGGCUAAAGAAUUUGGAUAAGACUAGGGGAUGUUAAAUCGUAGAAAAGCCGAUGAUGAUAAUAUGGUCAAUUAAUUUAUCUACUGUGGAAUACUAGAAUAAAUAAUUAGAAACAAAUUGGGAAAGAAGAAAAAUUCAGAUGUAAGAAAUAUACAUAUAUAAAAAAAUAAAAAAAAAAUAUAAUGAUGAUGAUAAAAUAAAUAACUAAAUAAAUAAAGAUAAAAUAAUAAUAUAAAUAUAAAUCACUACUGAAAAUAACUUUUGG
rnacentral:lncRNA from 1 species